UACGUAGGAGACGAGCGUUGUCCGGAGUUACUGGGCGUAAAGGGUGCGCAGGCGGUUCGUCGCGUGGGUGGUGAAAUCUCCUGGCUCAACUGGGAGGGGGCCAUCCAAACGGGCAAACUUGAGGCGUGGAGAGGGACGUGGAAUUCCGGGUGGAGCGGUGAAAUGCGUAGAGAUCCGGAGGAACACCGACGGCGAAGGCAGCGUCCUGGCCACGACCUGACGCUCAUGCACGAAAGCUGGGGGAGCAAACAGG
rnacentral:misc_RNA from 1 species